rnacentral:rRNA from 1 species
UACGUAGGCAGCAAGCGUUGUUCGGAGUUACUGGGCGUAAAGGGUGUGUAGGCGGUUGUUUAAGUCUGGUGUGAAAUCUCCCGGCUCAACUGGGAGGGUGCGCCGGAUACUGAGGGGCUAGAGUGUGGGAGAGGAAAGUGGAAUUCCUGGUGUAGCGGUGAAAUGCGUAGAUAUCAGGAGGAACACCGGUGGUGUAAACGGCUUUCUGGACCAUAACUGACGCUGAGGCACGAAAGCGUGGGUAGCAAACAGG